AAUCAACGCUGGCGGCGUGCCUAACACAUGCAAGUCGAACGCUAAAGCCCCGCAAGGGGUGAGUAGAGUGGCCAACGGGUUAGUAACACGUUGGGUACCUGCCUUCGAGUGGUGGAUAACGUCCCGAAAGGGACGCUAAUACCGCAUGACAUCCUGCUUUUGACAAAGCGGAGGUCAAAGCUGGGGAUCGCAAGACCUAGCGCUUGAAGAGGGGCCCGCGCCUGAUUAGCUGGUUGGGGAGGUAACGGCUCACCAAGGCGACGAUCAGUAUCCGGCCUGCGAGGGCGGACGGACAAACUGGGACUGAGACACGGCGCAGCGUCCUAGGGGAGGAAGCAGUGGGGAAGUGUUCGAAAUGGGCGAAAGCGUGACGGCGCAACGCAGCGUGGAGGACGAAGAGCUUCGGGUCGUCAAGUCCUGUCGAGCGGGACGAAAGCUUCGCGGAUGAAUAUGCCGCGGAAUUGACGGUAGCGCUAAAGGAAGCCCCGGCUAACUCCGUG
rnacentral:rRNA from 1 species